CGGCACAUGGACAUUACAGGAACUACAGUUCAAGAUGAGAUUUAGGUGGGGACACAGCCAAACCAUAUCAGAAACAAUCCUAGCUGAAUCUUAGGAGGCAUACAGCAAACGCGGGGGAGCAGAACGCAUGAGCACAGGCACUGAUGCUGAGCUUUCAGCUUGCCGGACCCUCAAUCGAAAAUGUUCUACAGCUGGAAGGGAGUGUGGGUGGAUCCUCUGAGUCAGUUAAAUGGAGGUCAGCUGGAGAUGCCACUGCCAGGCAGAAGCUGCUAAUUCUCACCACAGAUAAUACUAUGAGUCAUGAAUGUGAUGACAUCAUGAAUCCUCCCGGACAGUGGCAAUCAUCAGCCCCCCAAGUGUGAGUGCCAGUGCCUUUCUUGGAGCUGAAAGCCUUUCAUGGUGGGCGUUUCAUGAAGACCACCCCACGGGUCCCCAGACACGGUUUGCGGGCCUCAUUUCGUCCUUCCCAAGGUUCCAGGAUUUUCCAAUGCCUAUUAAAUCUUCUGUAACAAUCCAUUCAAAUACACAAGUUUGGCUAUUCAAAUUACUUUUUCCAAAAGUACUUUAAAAUGCAUUAAGUUAUUAAUUGCCUGCUGGCACUUUAAUCAAAUGGGAAAAUUGACAUAGCCAGAGGCAUGUAUUUUUGUGGAAAGAAAAUUUAUUUAAGAAGAAACAGCAGCUCUUACUGCUUAAUUUAAACUGAGAAAACUGUGGAAAAUCAACUGCUAUGGAAAAUUAAUAAAACAUUUCCAGCUGCAAACAGUGACUAAUUGUACAAGAUGAAGACUGCCCAGAAUUAAUAACUUGCAGUCUUCUGUGUGAAGAACCCCCCACCACUUCAAUUUACUGGGAGAUUAAAUUACUUCUAAGUUUGCCAUAUUAAAACAGAACAUGAAUAAAAUGUUAGUGAA